GGGGUAACACUGUUCUUUUUAUUGGUCGUCAUGAAAAAAAACAUAAGGGGUAACACUGUUGUUUUUAUUUGGUCGUCAUGAAAAAAAACAUAAGGGGUAACACUGUUGUUUUUCUUUGGUCGUCAUGAAAAAAAACAUAAGGUCAUCAUGAAAAAAAAAACAUAAGGGGUAACACUGUUGUUUUUUAUUGGUCGUCAUGAAAAAAAACAUAAGGGGUAACACUGUUGUUUUUUAUUGGUCGUCAUGAAAAAAAACAUAAGGGGUAACACUGUCGUUUUCUUUGGUCGUCAUGAAAAAAAACAUAAGGGGUAACACUGUUGUUUUUCUUUGGUCGUCAUGAAAAAAAACAUAAGGGGUAACUCUGUCAUUUUUUAUCGGCCAUCAUAAAAAAA
ensembl:lncRNA